rnacentral:rRNA from 1 species
AUGACUAGUUUGUGGAGUCUAAGUGAGGAAUAUCACGAGGAGGAAGACGUGGAUUAUGAAGCCGAUGGUGAUCAGGAGAAUAUUGCUACAAGUGCAAGAUCGGACCAGAUCGUUGUAGCUGCUCCCGUUCCUUGUCCGGCUGCCCCUGCUCGUACUGCCGCGGCACCUCGCACUCGCAGCAAGCGGGCAAGGUUGAAUCAACAGGCUCCAGCAGGACGUAACGGACGGCGUGCAAGAACUAAUGAGCCAUCCGAUGGAGAUGAAGCGAAUCAGCAACCACCGCCACCACCACCGCCACCACCCGGACCACAGGUUAAUCCUGCGCCAAAAUUAAGGUCAAAAGCAUGGGAUAACUUCACUUUGAUUGAACAACCUGAUCCUGAUCAAGUAUUUGCUCAGUGCAAAACUUGUAAAGCCAUACUUAGAGCAAGUUCGAAAAAUGGAACAUCUCAUUUGUUAAGGCAUACUGCUAACGUGCAUCCACAUAAUACUCAUGAAGUGAACAACUUUUUUCUGAAAACUGAAAAGAAUGCGGAUGGCUCACAUUCAGUUAGGAACACAAAGUUGGACAUGGAAACUAUUAGAGUUGCAAUCUCUAUGUUCCUAGUUGGGGGUUCACAUGCAUUUAGUGUCAUAGAAGAAGUGGGGUUCAAAAAAAUGAUUGGUGCUGCUUGUCCUCAGUUUAAGAUUGUUAGUCGGUACACAAUUAAAAGGGAUAUCAUGGCAAUGUUUGAAAGAGAGAGGACUGAAUUGAGAGAAACUAUAAGCAAUAGCCGUGGUAGAGUUAGCUUCACCACGGACAAUUGGAAAUCAGAUGUGACAAAGUUUAGUUAUAUUUGUAUUACUUGUCAUUAUGUUGAUGAUGCUUGGAGACUGAACAAAAGGAUAAUAUGGUUUAAAAAGUUGAAUCCACCUUAUGAUGGGGCUACAAUUGCUGAUGAAGUCCAUUUAUGUUUUCGUGAGUGGAAGGUUGAUACCAAAAUAAUGUGCAUGACUCUUGAUAAUGCUGCAUACAAUGAUUCGAUGAUCAACACUUUGAGAACUACAUUGCUGCCUAAAGGUGUGUUACCAUUGUUUGGAACUUUCUUUCAAGUCCGAUGUUGUGCACACAUAUUAAAUCUGAUUGUCCAAGCUGGUUUGAAACUUAUUGAUAAAUCUGUUGACAAGAUUAGAGGGCAUUCAAUAUAUCAAAAUAUCUAG